rnacentral:rRNA from 1 species
UACAUAGGUCGCAAGCGUUGUUCGGAUUCAUUGGGCGUAAAGGGUGCGUAGGUGGCGCGGUAAGUCGGGUGUGAAAUCUCGGAGCUUAACUCCGAAACUGCAUUUGAUACUGCGGUGCUUGAGGACUGGAGAGGAGACUGGAAUUUACGGUGUAGCAGUGAAAUGCGUAGAGAUCGUAAGGAAGACCAGUGGCGAAGGCGGGUCUCUGGACAGUUCCUGACGCUGAGGCACGAAGGCCAGGGGAGCAAACGGG